rnacentral:lncRNA from 1 species
AUUUUUGCAUUUGAUUGCAGAUAGGCUUUUUGAAUAAUAAAGGUUUUCGAUUAUGAUUAUUGGAAGUUUUAUGAGUAAACAAGGAAGGUGCGUCAUCUUUCUCGGUUUUACCCUACUAUACCAACAUUUUUGCACGUUAUCCCACUGGGAAUUAAGCUUAACCAUGGAGCCAGAUGUGUCGACUUCAUCACUUCAUUUUAUCGUAUAUGGCAAGAGCCCCUUAAAUUUAUCAUUUAUUGGCCUCACAUUAGGGGCAUCUUACAUUUUGUAUCACGUACGAUGGAAAUCAAAUAGCAUAUAAUUCGGCUGAAUGUCCUUCCGGUCGAAAAUAUCUGUUAUCCAAUUGCUCGCCUACCGAAUUAUUUUUGAAAAUGUGGAAAAGUGUGUAAUAUGUACUUAUCAUAUUG